UGAGGAAUAUUGGUCAAUGGUCGGGAGACUGAACCAGCCAAGCCGCGUGAGGGAUGAAGGUGCUAAGCAUUGUAAACCUCUUUUGUCAGGGAACAAAGGCAUCCACGAGUGGAUGUGUGAGUGUACCUGAAGAAAAAGCAUCGGCUAACUCCGUGCCAGCAGCCGCGGUAAUACGGAGGAUGCGAGCGUUAUCCGGAUUUAUUGGGUUUAAAGGGUGCGUAGGCGGCCUGUUAAGUCAGCGGUAAAAGCCCGGGGCUCAACCCGGCGAGCGUUGAAACUGGCUGGCUGGAGUUGGCGAGAGGUAUGCGGAAUGCGCGGUGUAGCGGUGAAAUGCUUAGAUAUCGCGCAGAACUCCGAUUGCGAAGGCAGCAUGCCGGCGCCACACUGACGCUGAGGCACGAAAGCGUGGGGAUCAAACAGGAUUAGAUACC
rnacentral:rRNA from 1 species